rnacentral:rRNA from 1 species
GACAGAGGGUGCAAACGUUGCUCGGAAUUACUGGGCGUAAAGCACGUGUAGGCGGUGCCGCACGUCCGAUGUGAAAGCCCAGGGCUCAACCCUGGACGUGCAUUGGAUACGACGGCGCUGGAGUCCUGAAGAGGAGGGCGGAAUUCCCGGUGUAGAGGUGAAAUUCGUAGAUAUCGGGAGGAACACCAGUGGCGAAGGCGGCUCUCUGGACAGGUACUGGACGCUGAGACGCGAAAAGCGUGGGUAGCAAACAGGG